CGGUCAGUAGGUUGGUCGUGCCACCGGUACGUACUGGUCUCACUGAUUCCUCCUUCCUGAAGAACCGUAAUGCCAUUAAUUUGGUGUUGCGGGGAAACAGGACUGUUACUUUGAAAAAAUUAGAGUGUUUAAAGCAAGCUAACGCUUGAAUUCAUUAGCAUGGAAUAAUGAAAUAGGACGAUCGAUCCUAUUUUGUUGGUUUCUAGGAUUGACGUA
rnacentral:rRNA from 1 species